CGUCUUGAAACACGGACCAAGGAGUCUAGCAUGUGCGCGAGUCAUUGGGAACACUAAUAAACCCAAAGGCGCAAUGAAAGUGAACAGCGUCCCCUCGCGGGGACCGCAGGGAAGAUGGCGGCCGGUGCGCCCGUCCGCUCGCAUUCCCGAGGCGUUUCGAGAAAUGCCUCCGUUGCGAUUAUCGAGACGCACUGAGAGCGUACACGCUGGGACCCGAAAGAUGGUGAACUAUGCCUGGUCAGGUCGAAGUCAG
rnacentral:rRNA from 1 species